rnacentral:rRNA from 1 species
UACGUAGGGUGCAAGCGUUUAAUCGGAAUUACUGGGCGUAAAGCGCGCGUAGGCGGCUUUGCAAGUCGGGUGUGGAAAUCCCCAGGCUUAACCUGGGAACUGCAUUCGAGACUGCAUUGCUAGAGUAUGGGAGAGGGAAGUGGAAUUUCCGGUGUAGCGGUGAAAUGCGUAGAUAUCGGGAGGAACAUCAGUGGCGAAGGCGGCCCUCUGGUCCAGUACUGACACUCAAGUGCGAAAGCGUGGGGAGCAACAGG